rnacentral:lncRNA from 1 species
GGGAUUGACCAGAAUGUAGCAAGUCCUGGGCUUUUGAGCAGUAUUGUCCAAGCAGCAGGGCCAAAGUCCCACUCCCACAGAGCUCCAAUCCAAUGGGUGUGUGCUGAAAUGCAGUAAAGGCCACCAUACUUUGCAGCAACUCUCAUCAAGAGGAGGAGUCUGUUCCCACAUGCCUUGAAUCUGGGCUGGCCUUGUGAGUUCCUUGUUUGGUCAAGGAAGGUCACAGAAGUGACAGUGGUCGAUUCCUAGCUUAGAGCGCAAGGAACCUUGAAACUUCUGCACGCAAGCUCUAGGGAUGCUACAACCGCCACGUGAACAAACCUGAGCUAAGCUGCUGGAGCAUGAAGGAUAAGAAAACAUGAGGAGAGAGGCCCCAGUGCCCCAGCUUUCCCAAGAAAAGCCAUAAUAAAACCAGCCAGUCCCAUUGGCCUACCAGCUGGCAGCAGAUGUGUGAACAGGCCCAGGCAAAAUCAGCUAAGCCUGGCCCAAGAAGAAUGGCCCAGGAGAGCAAGGGUGGACAAGGAGCAAAGAGUCUCCAGGACUUCCGGUCACAUGAGAGCAGCCAUGUGAGGUCCGUGAGUAGGGACCACAUCCAGUCUGGAAUGAAGGCAGCAUACUUGGAGACAAGGAAGAACUGAAUGGGAGAAGAGGGAGAGGAAACCUCCUUCCAGAAGGUAACAGUCUAACACUGUUGCUCC